rnacentral:rRNA from 1 species
UACAGAGGGGGCGAGCGUUGUUCGGAAUUACUGGGCGUAAAGGGCGCGUAGGCGGCCUUCUAAGUCGAACGUGAAAUCCCCGGGCUCAACCCGGGAACUGCGUCCGAUACUGGUUGGCUUGAAUCCGGGAGAGGGAUGCGGAAUUCCAGGUGUAGCGGUGAAAUGCGUAGAUAUCUGGAGGAACACCGGUGGCGAAGGCGGCAUCCUGGACCAACACUGACGCUGAGGAGCGAAAGCCAGGGGAGCAAACGGG